GGAUGGAUCAUUACCAAAGAACAACUCUCUUGGAGUCCUGUGAACCGUUUUUGUGGUCAGUGUUUUUUUCACUCAAUUUUUUGGGUGAGGGACGCGCUGGCUGCUCCAAACACAAAUGUAUACCACAAAACAGAGUCACUUUAGCUUAAAACUAAAGACAACUUUUAGCAACGGAUCUCUUGGCUCUCGCAACGAUGAAGAACGCAGCGAAAUGCGAUAAGUAAUGUGAAUUGCAGGCACCGUGAAUCAUUAAAUCUUUGAACGCACAUUGCACUGUCUGGAAUUCCGGACAGUAUGCCUGUUUGAGUAUCAGUAAACACUCUCCAAGGUCUUGCCUUUUUGGGCGGCCUUUGAGGACUUGAGUUUUCGUUUGGUACCAACCAUUUGUUUGGUCUGAGCGUGACUUUAAAUUUAUCGCGCGUCCCUUGGUUCUCUGAGUCAAGUCUGACUGCCAGUGUUAAUGACCUCGGUCUUUCUCUGACAUGUCGGGCUUGAACCAUGGCCAGUACGGACGCGUUCACUGACACACUCCAGAGGGUCCUUAAAAAACCCUUUGACUUUGAUCUCAGAUCAGGCAAGAUUACCCGCUGAACUUAAGCAUAUUAAUAAGCGGAGGAAAAGAAACUAACAAGGAUUCCCCCAGUAAUGGCGAAUGAAGCGGGAACAGCUCAAAUUUAAAAUCUCUUUGGAGAAUUGUAGUUUGUAGAAGUGCUUUCGAUGCCGGCCCAGGCAUAAGUCCCUUGGAAUGGGGUAUCAUAGAGGGUGAGAAUCCCGUCUUUGGUCUGGGUACCGGCACGAUGUGAUGCGCUUUCAAAGAGUCAGGUUGUUUGGGAAUGCAGCCUAAAGUGGGUGGUAUAUUUCAUCUAAAGCUAAAUACAGGCGAGAGACCGAUAGCGAACAAGUACCGUGAGGGAAAGAUGAAAAGAACUUUGAAAAGAGAGUUAAACAGUACGUGAAAUUGCUAAAAGGGAAACGAUUGAAAUCAGUGUUGGCUGCUGGAUACAGCCGGUCAGAAAUGGCCGGUUCACUUUCCAGUAGUCAGGUCAACAUGGGUUCUGCGUUGAGGUAAAUUAGCAAGGGAAGGUGGCUCCCUCGGGAGUGUUAUAGCCCUUGUGACUGCCUCGACUGGGACUGAGGACUGCAGUGCAUGCCUUUUGGCUGACAAAGCAGGUGCUAGCUGUGGCAAGUUCGUGUAGCAGCGUGCUGAUGCUCGUCUUGUCACGGUUACCCACUUGUGUAGUACAAAUGCGCUUAGGAUGUUGACGAAAUGGUUUUAAACGACCCGUCUUGAAACACGGACCAAGGAGUCUAACACAUGUGCGAGUGUUUGGGUGGAAAGCCCAUACGCGAAAUGAAAGUGAAUGUAGGUGGGAUCCCCUUCAACAAGGGUGCACCAUCGACCGGUCUGGAUUUUUAAUGAUAGAUCUGAGUAAGAGCAUAUCUGUUGGGACCCGAAAGAUGGUGAACUAUGCCUGAAUAGGGCGAAGCCAGAGGAAACUCUGGUGGAGGCUCGUAGCGGUACUGACGUGCAAAUCGUUCGUCAAAUUUGGGUAUAGGGGCGAAAGACUAAUCGAACCAUCUAGUAGCUGGUUCCCUC
rnacentral:misc_RNA from 1 species